GCCGGCGCGGCCGUCCACCCCAAGCAGACCCCAUUAAAAACCUCUAUGGUCGUCGCGCACCGGGGCGGCUCCAUGGUGGUCCUCCUCAAGGUGCUCUCCGCCUUCUCCAGACGGAAUAUCAACCUGACAAAGCUGGAGGUGAUCAACUCCUCCUCCAAGGAGGACAAGGCACCGGUGUUUAUUCUGGACGUGAAGGCGAAGGGGACGCUCCGGGCGUUCCCUCACGUUCUAUACGUGGACUUCGAGGGCUCGACGGAGGACCCAAAGGCCAUGGAGGCCAUUGACGAGAUCUCGCAGACCGCCGAACUCGUGAGGAUCUUGGGAUGCUACGCCGCCGAUCCUAAUGUCUACGACCUUCACUAGCGGAGCGUUCGGUGCGCAUCCUUACCUGCAGCAGCACAGGAAAGCGUCUUCUCUCCUCUCCCCUCCCGUCCUCUUCUCAGUAUGGUUGUACAUAAUACGCCUGUUCCCGUUGUGUAAUUCGACUACCUUCCGUCCAUUACUAUUUCAGUUAACACCUGCUCGUUCAUCUUCCUGAGCUUGAUGGAGGACUGAUCGAUAAGCAGGUACUCUGCCGAAUCAAGUUUGCUUCUUGCUAAGUUGUAUCGUUUGUUCCCACCACGAAAGUAGCAUCUUCCUUGUAAGGU
rnacentral:lncRNA from 1 species